ACCCACCUUAACCCAAGAUGAAUUCGCCUCUGCUUAUAAUGAAUUAAAAUUUUCAACAUCACUCGGUUAAUAGCCAACAACUUUAUCUUUAAGCAACUGAUGAACAAUCAGAGAUUCUCAUAAAGUUGAAUUCAUGUUUUAUGUCGACGUAUUAAAGUCUGAUACACGUGCACGAAUUCAUGAUUUCAUCGAGUUGAUGUUUCUUAUGUUCAUAUUAUGAUUUCACUGUAAGAUAAGACCACUCCUUAAUUUAUGUGAACUGCAUUCUAUUACGUGGAACCAAAACCAAAAGGAGAAACACUCGCAAGGCACUUUGAAAUGCUGUGGUUGCCUUUAUACGACUUUAGUGAGCUGAGUCCCAAAAGUUGUUGAUCAGGGGCUUCAAAUUCCUACCAAACCUAAUGAGAAUAACCGGACCACACAAAAACAAAGGUAAGAUGCUCCGUCUUUUCUUUCUUACAAAUGGAGUAGAACCUUCAACCAUAAAAGGUUCAUAAUUAAUCAAAUAUUACCUCAUACUUUAAAAAAUAAUAAUACAUAUAUGCUUUAUAAAACAAAUGUGUGUGUGUGUGUGUGUGUGUACCAUUUAUGCAAAAGAAUUUCGUAUAUAUACCAUUUAUGCAAAAAAAUUUCUAUUUUUUUUAAAUGAGGAUUAGGUGUGGAGCCCACUCAACAUCGAAUUUCAACUAUCCAAACUGUCUAUUUUGUAAGUCUCGAUUCAUAGAUCAUUCUUACAAAAAUUCAAUUCAAUCUGAAAUCAUUUGCCUAUUUAAUUAUCAAGUUAAAAUUUCAUUGUUUAUUAUGUAAUAAAGUAUUCGUUAAUUUUUUUUUAACACAAUUAUUCUCAAAAAAUAAAAAAAAAUCUUUGAACCCAAUUAGAUGUCUUAAAUAUUUCCGAUUUG
rnacentral:lncRNA from 1 species